AGUAACGAAAUUUUCGUAAUUCCACAUUUAAUUGACAUCUAAUAAAUUGUUUAACAAUUUUGCGUUUAUAGUGUUAAUUGCUUACAUUGGAGAGAAUCACUUUAAAAGUACGUGGUGGUAAAUACUAGCUUUGACUUUGGUUCUGCUGUUUUUCGUGGUAUAAAGUGUUUAUUGUUGGAAUUUGAAAGUAGAUAAAAAGUGACAAAGAUUUAAAUUUUGAUUACAAAGUGUUAUCAAACAGUUGUCUAAUUAAAGACUAUAGUAAUGGAUCACAGCGAACACAAAGUUGGGCUCAAGAAACCAAUAAAUUAGUGAAGUUUGUGAAUUUUAGGUUAGAAUUUUUCCACUGAUAAAAUCAUGAAAUACUUCGAUAAAUCAAAAAAACUACAAUUAAGAUUAACAACUGCUAAUACACUUAAACGUAAAUUAUGCCAAAAGGUAGGCUUUUCAAUGUCUUUGUAAUAAUUUUCUAAUAAAGAAAGUGAACCAAAAAGUCAUUCGUUAUUCGUGUUUUCCUCGUCAUCUCUAAUUUGUCUACAUACGUUUCUUCCACCAAAGAUACAAUAGUCAUUUCGUAUUGGCAAUGUAAUAAUUGUGAAGCCUCAAAAUUCGUACAACGCUCAAAAUAUCCGAAUAAAAAUUUUCCCGCCAUUUAUGGUUACUGUUUUCGACCUAGCUCAGUGGCGCCCCCAACGGUAACUUUACUUCCGAUUAGCAGAUCGACCGUGUAUGUGUAAUUUUUCGAUUUCACUAAGAUGUCAAAAUGAUGAACUUUUGUCAAAAAUCAGUUUGUCUCAUUUUCGUUUUAAACUUCAUCACCGCAUUUGGUUUAAAAUGCUUCUACUGCUCAUUCAAUUUUGAUACUAAGCCCGCUGCUAAGACCAUCAAUAAUAAAACAAAGAUUAAGAAUUACAGGAAUCACAUUCCGGAAGUUCAUGCCAUUGACUGCGAUCGUCCUUCGCAGAUACAUUGCAAGAAUAUCGUCAGCAACUGCAUCAAAAUAAUCGACACAAACGCAAUAUUGCAAACGUGUUUUUCAAUGAACGACGCGAACGCGUACGUCUAUCGAAACAGGUGCGAUAAAGUAAAGCAAAUCAAUCCACGAAACUGCAAGAUCUGCAAAACCAAACUGUGUAAUUCGGCGAGCGGUCUCUCGAUAAGUGCCACUUUACUGCUCUUGUGUGUUAUUGCGUUAUUUCUAUAGUAAUAAAACUGUUACAUUUC